UCAUCUCCCCUUAUUCAUUCUCCUCUCCACAACCUUCAAUCAUCUUUUGCAACCUCACACAUCUUGAUCACCAUCAUCACUCUGCAUCAACUGGCCUCAGAACCGCAGAGCAUUCAUUCAUCAUCUCCGUCGGCACCAUCAAACUCUCUCAACUUUCUCUUCAUCAAUCUUCGUCAUCUUGCUACAUCAUCUUCAUCAACGAAGAUAUACGCUUGUAAUCAUCACUGUAGUGCAUUAGCAUCCUUAUCUUCUUCACAAGAUCAACACCACCAAAACUUCAACAAGCCUUCAAUCUUCGAAGCACAUCACCACCACCAUCACCAUAAUCUUGAAUCCUCAUCAACAACGGUCGCUGCAAGAACGAAAAUAAGGAAACAGUAG